UCUUUAUUCAAUACAAUUAUAGCAUGGAUAAUAAACGAUUAUCUUGAUACAGGAAUUAUAAUAAUAACUAUAUUUAUUAUUGCCUCUAGGGCAUAAUUCCAACAUUAACAUAAGAGGUGGUAGGCAGCAAGACAUAGCGAUAGAAACGAGACAACUAGCAUGGCAAUGAUAGUAAUGUUGUCUAGGGAAAUGACUAGCUUUCCCGUGAUCCCACUUGGAAGAAGACGAAUCCAUAUAGUAGACGAACAAACGUAGUCGAACGAAUCAUCACACUCCGAAGAGGUUAGGAACUCUAUCAAGAGGAAACAAUCAAGAAACAACAAUCAACACCAAUAAAUACCACAACAUACGCAUGGCAUGAUGUGCAAGCAAUUAGGAUGCAUGUCCAUUUAAUUAUGCACGACACGAAAAAUCACUACAAUCUAUU
rnacentral:lncRNA from 1 species